rnacentral:SRP_RNA from 1 species
GCUGGGCGUGGUGGUGCACGCCUGUAGUCCCAGGUACUUGGGAGGCUGAGGCAGAAGAAUCGCUUGAACCCAGGAGAUGGAGGUUGCAGUGAGCCAAGAUCGUGCCACUGUACUCCAGCCUGGGCAACAGAGCGAGACUCCAUCUCAA